rnacentral:rRNA from 1 species
AUACGGAGGGUGCGAGCGUUGUUCGGAAUUAUUGGGCGUAAAGAGCAUGUAGGCGGUCUGUUAAGUCUGGUGUGAAAGCCCGGGGCUCAACCCCGGAAGUGCAUUGGAUACUGGCAGACUUGAGUAUGGGAGAGGAAAGCGGAAUUCCGAGUGUAGGAGUGAAAUCCGUAGAUAUUCGGAGGAACACCAGUGGCGAAGGCGGCUUUCUGGACAAAUACUGACGCUGAGAUGCGAAAGCGUGGGGAGCAAACAGGAUUAGAUACCCCGGUAGUCC